AAUGCAAUACGCUUCAUAAAGGAAAAUAUAGCAAUUCUCUGUUUCAAAACGCAUCAGCAACAAAGAAGGCAGAGGAGAAAAUAUCGUUGUCAAGCACUUUCCGCCGUCCAGCUGCACAUUGACAUUCUGCAGAAUAAAACGGUCUUAUCUAUGAAUUGGGGUCGUGUGUGUGUUUCUUUUAAAAGAACACGAAGACUUUCCAAUGCUGCACUUUAACUCGUGUUAAACGUCGGUAAUUGCCUGCAAAGGUAGAGAAAGCAGAGAAGUAUAAAAAACAGUGAAUUUCAGACCCACCGCUAAGAAACUGGGGUGGUCAGCAAACAGCUUACCGCAGGAGAGUGUCAACUGCACAAAUAAAUACACGAAGCGACCAUGAUUGAAAUGUCUAAAUGAAACUGAUUAAUGGAGUAAUUGCGUGGAUCGAAUGGCUGUUGGCGACAAGCUGGUGUAUAAAAUAAAACAAAAAAAAAUACCUCGGGUCCCGACGAUGAUGAUGAUGAUGAUGAUGAUAAUGAUGAUCUGCACUGUGCUCGGUGGAAAGGGGAUGGUCUGAAUCCUGGUUCCAUCCACAGAUCCGGGUGGGGGAGUGGGCUUAAGGAAGAGAGUUCCUCGGUGAUAGGUGGCCACGUUUUCUUUGGCUAAUUAGCCUUCGCAGAAAAGUCCGGCGGGUCUUCCUCUGCGCUUCCUUUUCUUAAAGGGCUUUGCUUCGGGGCUGACCACCAGGUGGAGGAUGGAGCAGCGAUAUCUGGGCCACUGAACUCCUGCCAGAAAACCAGAGAGAAAAAAACUUUUUUGUUGUUGCUGGAUGCUCGAGGGAGCGAACAUAAGCAGCCGACGUCUGCAUCUGCACCGCAAAGCAACAGCAAAGGCCUUUCUUUCGGUGUGAAUACGCGCAAGACGCUCACCAAAUAUAUAUAUAGAUAUAUAUCUAUAUAUAUAUAUUAAUACCGAUCUGGAAUUGAAUCGUCCAUGUUUGCUUGGAGCAACACGUCCGAAAAUGAACUGACUGUCUGAAGCCGAUUGAAUAGCACUCUGUGCCUUGAACGUGUCCGUGGAAUAAAUGUCCCACGGUCCAGUUGAGCCAAAUAGAGCGAAGCGUCUAUAAGGGAUCGCUAUAAUAUUUUUUUUUCUUCUUC